rnacentral:lncRNA from 1 species
AACUGUUCGUGUGCUGUACAAAUGAUGUGGAAUGAAGCUAAAUUUCAAACCUGUGAAGGAUUUAGUGGAGCAGAAUUAGCGUUCUCCGGCCAGUCCUCCUGACCUCAUAUAUCAAGUUAGGAUUUGCACUGAGCUGCUUCUGAAGAGGCACAGCCUCCAUUUUCAUCUCCCAUAGACAAAGCAAAACACCCCAAAUAAGAAAAGAAAAAAGCCUGGAGUCAGGUGCUGAUGUACCUGUAUAGCUGUCUCAGGUGAGACGCCAGUGGCGAAGCAGAGAUGGAUGAAGCUCUAGUGCAAAUGUCAGACAUCCCCAAACUGAGUCCCGUCUUGCAGCAGAAUGUGCUCACAGCUUACAGCCGUCAGAAGGAAGAAGUGCCCCAGAGACCACCUCCCGGCCACGAAAAAUAAAAACCCAACAACAACAGAACACGGGAAAAAAUACACACACUCAUUUGCUGGAAUGGCAUUCAUUUGUCGAUCUCAUCUUGACCUCUUUGGGGAGGCUAAAGGACGUUCAGUGACUGUGAAGUGCACAGACUUUUGUAUAUUAUCCUCAGAUGAACUUUUUCGAUGUUCCAUUGACAACAUCUGCAUUUCAGCCAAGCUGAGUGGCCCUCCAUUUUUCUUUAUGCAAAGACCUCGUUUAUUUGUCCAGGAUUUGGCACCCACACUUAAUCACAGAAUAAGUGAGAAAAAGCAGUUGCUCUUCCUGCUUCUGUGA